UACAGAGGUCCCAAGCGUUGUUCGGAUUCAUUGGGCGUAAAGGGUGCGUAGGCGGCGCGGUAAGUCGGGUGUGAAAUCUUGGAGCUUAACUCCGAAACUGCAUUCGAUACUGCCGUGCUUGAGGACUGGAGAGGAGACUGGAAUUUACGGUGUAGCGGUGAAAUGCGUAGAUAUCGUAAGGAAGACCAGUGGCGAAGGCGGGUCUCUGGACAGUUCCUGACGUGAGGCACGAAGGCCAGGGGAGCAAACGGG
rnacentral:rRNA from 1 species